UCAUGGGUGGGGGACUGGGGUUCUUGCUAAGGUUGCUUCAAUUCAUCUUAAAAUUAAACACUCUGGAGACCGUUCUUUAACAACUCUUUUGGGUCAUUCCAAAACACCUCUGUUAUGGAGACUAAUACUCUUUGAUUCUGAGCCAAAAGCAUGGUUUUCAGAUGUUACAAUUACCUGUUCAGCUUCUUGGGGGCAAUUAUUUGAAAGGAGUAAAUGCUCUGGCUACAAUUGCCUCUGUGGGAGUCACAGUAAUUGCCAUUCAUCAGGGCAGCAACCUGCUGAGGGCAUCAAUUCAUAAACUCUGAGCCAUCAAUAAACUGGAACCUGGGCCCCUGGUGCCAACAUUCUUUACACAAUGAAAUAUUAUUACUGGCAAUUAGGUAAACAAUGAGCCAACCCGGAAAUGGAAGAGAGGUUGCCAAGGACUGCCUUAGCGCGUCAUCCACAGAUGUCUUAAAUCUUUUCCUGCGAGAGAAACACCUUGGGAUAACUCUUUCUACACCACCAGGAUCCAAACUAUCACAAAAACAUUCACAGAUCAAAGAAAAAGGGAAAUGGUAAAAAGAAGAGUGUGGUCAUCAUGUAUGCGUCACAAGGUUGGUAAGCAAAAUUAACCUUGAAGAACAAAGUGUUUACAAUGCUGACAGAACAAACACAAUUCUCUACAACAAAUUGAACGACUCAAUUUGUCUCAAUAAUGUCUUAAUAAUUCAAGUCACUCAUUAAAAGCUGUUAGACUAUGAGAUCGACUUGCCAACGACCAUCUUGCUGCCACCUGGAGAAAGUCUGAGAAGGAAGCAGAGCAGAGGCAAGAGAGCUGGAGACAUAAAGAAAGACUGAGAACACUGAAAUGCAAAAUUUGGCUACAUUUGGCCCACUUGGCCUUCCCAAGUAAAAAGUAAAUACACUCUCUCUUUGUUUAAAACCAGUUUGGAUAAAGAUGCUGUUUGUGCCUGUAUAAGACCCAGAGUAUGUGUUGUUAUUAUUAUUCACAUGAUUUUUUUUUGUAAGUAAAUA